rnacentral:misc_RNA from 1 species
AACGCACAUUGCGCUUCCUGGUAUUCCGGGAAGCAUGCCCGUUUCAGAAUCAAUAAAAAUCUCACCCAACUCGGUGCUUUCGAGCGUUGAGCGCAGGUGGAUCUGGAUUUUUGCGUCAGCAAUCAUCUUAAAUUCAUUGUGUGUGCACCAAUUGAUGUUUCUUUUGGUUGUCCGAGUGCAACAGAAUUAUCUAUUUCACUUUGGCAGCCGAUUGAUGCUCUUGAUGCGUAUGCUUCACCAAUAAUACGGUCUUCAAAUCGGUAUGAUUUGGGUUUCCGAUAACUUGAUCUGAAAUCGGGCAAGAAAACCCGCUGAACUUAA